rnacentral:rRNA from 1 species
UACGUAGGGGGCGAGCGUUGUCCGGAUUUAUUGGGCGUAAAGCGAGCGCAGGUGGUUUAAUAAGUCUGAUGUAAAAGGCAGUGGCUCAACCAUUGUGUGCAUUGGAAACUGUUAGACUUGAGUGCAGUAGAGGAGAGUGGAAUUCCAUGUGUAGCGGUGAAAUGCGUAGAUAUAUGGAGGAACACCGGUGGCGAAAGCGGCUCUCUGGACUGUAACUGACACUGAGGCUCGAAAGCGUGGGUAGCAAACAGG